rnacentral:rRNA from 1 species
CUUGAUAAACCCAUAAGAGGUCCAGCCUGCCCAGUGACCCUGUUCAACGGCCGCGGUAUCCUAACCGUGCGAAGGUAGCGUAAUCACUUGUUCUUUAAAUGAGGACUAGUAUGAAUGGCACCACGAAGGUUAUACUGUCUCCUUCCCCUAAUCAGUGAAACUAAUCUUCCCGUGAAGAAGCGGGAAUAAACCUAUAAGACGAGAAGACCCUAUGGAGCUUUAAACACAGUAAUAACUGCCCCUCCCCCCUUACGUAUCUCCGGAAAAACUACUUUACCUGGGCACCCUAAUUACAAGUUUUAGGUUGGGGUGACCGCGGAGCAAAAAAUAACCUCCACAGUGAAUGGGACUCUCCCCUAAACUCAGGGCCACAGCCCUAAGAAUCAAUAAAUUGACACCCAUUGACCCAAUAUUUUUGAUCAAUGAAC